UACGUAGGGUGCGAGCGUUGUCCGGAAUUAUUGGGCGUAAAGAGCUCGUAGGCGGUGUGUCACGUCGGCCGUGAAAACCUGCAGCUUAACUGUGGGCGUGCGGUCGAUACGGGCAUCACUGGAGUUCGGCAGGGGAGACUGGAAUUCCUGGUGUAGCGGUGAAAUGCGCAGAUAUCAGGAGGAACACCGAUGGCGAAGGCAGGUCUCUGGGCAUUAACUGACGCUGAGGAGCGAAAAGCAUGGGGAGCGAACAGG
rnacentral:rRNA from 1 species